rnacentral:misc_RNA from 1 species
UUUAACUCAAAACCCUCGAUAACUUCAAAGAGGUAAUAAAGCAAAUUACAACAUCAAAUUAGCAUUUCAGGAUGUGUUAAAACCAAAAACAACCUCAUUAGUAAACAAAAGUGAAAUUUCUACAAACUUCUCUUUUCUUUAUUGAUUCAAAUGAUUAUACCAUUUCCUAGCAGUGAGCAAUAACAAUAUAAAGAAAAGAGAAAUAAAAGAGCAGAAGAUUGGAAUUUACAACCACACCCACCCAGGCAUUCAAGUGCUCUCUCUUGCAUAUGCACUAGUCUCUUCUGCAACCUUUGCCCAUACAUUUGCUAUCUUCUCAGCAUAUCCCGCCUGAUUAAGAACAAACCCCUUCAACAUGUUCAAGAAGUCAGCAUGCCUUUCUCUGU